rnacentral:rRNA from 1 species
UACGGAAGGUCCGGGCGUUAUCCGGAUUUAUUGGGUUUAAAGGGAGCGCAGGCGGAGAUGCAAGCGUGACGUCAAAUUUCGGGGCUCAACCCCGUCUCGCGUCGCGAACUGCGUCCCUUGGUUGCGGGAAGGGGAGGCGGAACUCGUGGUGUAGCGGUGAAAUGCAUAGAUAUCACGAAGAACUCCGAUCGCGAAGGCAGCCUUCCGGCCCGUCAACGACGCUCAUGCUCGAAGGUGCGGGUAUCAAACAGGAUUAGAUACCCCUGUAGUCCCUGAGCGGG